rnacentral:rRNA from 1 species
GAUGAACGCUGGCGGCGUGCCUAAUACAUGCAAGUCGAGCGAACGGACGAGAAGCUUGCUUCUCUGAUGUUAGCGGCGGACGGGUGAGUAACACGUGGAUAACCUACCUAUAAGACUGGGAUAACUUCGGGGAACCGGAGCUAAUACCGGAUAAUAUUUUGAACCGCAUGGUUCAAAAGUGAAAGACGGUCUUGCUGUCACUUAUAGAUGGAUCCGCGCUGCAUUAGCUAGUUGGUAAGGUAACGGCUUACCAAGGCAACGAUGCAUAGCCGACCUGAGAGGGUGAUCGGCCACACUGGAACUGAGACACGGUCCAGACUCCUACGGGAGGCAGCAGUAGGGAAUCUUCCGCAAUGGGCGAAAGCCUGACGGAGCAACGCCGCGUGAGUGAUGAAGGUCUUCGGAUCGUAAAACUCUGUUAUUAGGGAAGAACAUAUGUGUAAGUAACCGUGCACAUCUUGACGGUACCUAAUCAGAAAGCCACGGCUAACUACGUGCCAGCAGCCGCGGUAAUACGUAGGUGGCAAGCGUUAUCCGGAAUUAUUGGGCGUAAAGCGCGCGUAAGGCGGUUUUUUAAGUCUGAUGUGAAAGCCCACGGCUCAGCCGUGGAGGGUCAUUGGAAACUGGAAAACUUGAGUGCAGAAGAGGAAAGUGGAAUUCCAUGUGUAGCGGUGAAAUGCGCAGAGAUAUGGAGGAACAUCAGUGGCGAAGGCGACUUUCUGGUCUGUAACUGACGCUGAUGUGCGAAAGCGUGGGGAUCAAACAGGAUUAGAUACCCUGGUAGUCCACGCCGUAAACGAUGAGUGCUAAGUGUUAGGGGGUUUCCGCCCCUUAGUGCUGCAGCUAACGCAUUAAGCACUCCGCCUGGGGAGUACGACCGCAAGGUUGAAACUCAAAGGAAUUGACGGGGACCCGCACAAGCGGUGGAGCAUGUGGUUUAAUUCGAAGCAACGCGAAGAACCUUACCAAAUCUUGACAUCCUUUGACAACUCUAGAGAUAGAGCUUUCCCCUUCGGGGGACAAAGUGACAGGUGGUGCAUGGUUGUCGUCAGCUCGUGUCGUGAGAUGUUGGGUUAAGUCCCGCAACGAGCGCAACCCUUAAGCUUAGUUGCCAUCAUUAAGUUGGGCACUCUAAGUUGACUGCCGGUGACAAACCGGAGGAAGGUGGGGAUGACGUCAAAUCAUCAUGCCCCUUAUGAUUUGGGCUACACACGUGCUACAAUGGACAAUACAAAGGGCAGCGAAACCGCGAGGUCAAGCAAAUCCCAUAAAGUUGUUCUCAGUUCGGAUUGUAGUCUGCAACUCGACUACAUGAAGCUGGAAUCGCUAGUAAUCGUAGAUCAGCAUGCUACGGUGAAUACGUUCCCGGGUCU